rnacentral:rRNA from 1 species
UACGUAGGGGGCUAGCGUUGUCCGGAAUUAUUGGGCGUAAAGAGCGUGUAGGCGGCCUGGUAGGUCAGCUGUGAAAACUCGAGGCUCAACCUCGAGACGCCGGUUGAAACCAUCAGGCUAGAGUCCGGAAGAGGAGAGUGGAAUUCCCGGUGUAGCGGUGAAAUGCGCAGAUAUCGGGAAGAACACCCGUGGCUAAGGCGGCUCUCUAGUACGGUACUGACGCUGAGACGCGAAAGCGUGGGGAGCGAACAGG